CCUACGGGGGGCAGCAGUGGGGAAUUUUGCGCAAUGGGGGCAACCCUGACGCAGCAACGCCGCGUGAGUGAUGAAGGCCUUCGGGUCGUAAAGCUCUGUCAGAGGGGAAGAAAUGCAGGUGGUGAACAACCAUUCUGUUUGACGGUACCCUCAAAGGAAGCACCGGCUAACUCCGUGCCAGCAGCCGCGGUAAUACGGAGGGUGCGAGCGUUGUUCGGAAUUAUUGGGCGUAAAGCGCGUGUAGGCGGUUUGUUAAGUCUGAGGUGAAAGCCCCGGGCUCAACCUGGGAAGUGCAUUGGAUACUGGCAGACUUGAGUACGGGAGAGGGGAGUGAAAUUCCCGGUGUAGAGGUGAAAUUCGUAGAUAUCGGGAGGAACACCGGUGGCGAAGGCGGCUUCCUGGACCGAUACUGACGCUGAGACGCGAAAGCGUGGGGAGCGAACGGGAUUAGAUACCCCUGUAGU
rnacentral:rRNA from 1 species